ACAGUCCCACCACCAGUUUAUCAAGUUUGGCGGCUAUGAAAGACUGAAACCACUUAACACCAUUUCAGUCCCGAUAACUAAACCAUCUGCUUAUCUGUGACCGAUUAUUGCCGUAAUCCCAAACCCCUUCUUCUUAUUAAAGUUUUGAUCUUUGUUUUACAAUCUCAUCAUUUCUUUGUGAAACCAUGAAUUUCUUUAGCUGGGUUUUUUUGGUGGUCUUUUUUCAUUUAUUGAGUCAAACUUUUAGCUUAAAUGGGAUGCCAUUGGAUAUCUCAACAAAGUUUCUCAAUUAUGCCAAGAAAGAGGAGCUUUUCAAUUGGAUGGUGGGUGUGAGGAGAAAGAUACAUGAGAAUCCAGAACUGGGUUAUGAGGAAUUUGAAACUAGUAAGCUUAUUAGAGAAGAAUUGAAUAAAAUAGGUAUUAAAUAUAAAUACCCAUUUUCAGUUACUGGCGUUGUUGGCUUCAUUGGGACUGGCAAACCUCCUUUUGUUGCAAUAAGGGCGGACAUGGAUGCUCUUGCUAUGCAGGAAAUGGUAGAGUGGGAACACAAGAGUAGAGUUCCUGGGAAGAUGCAUGCUUGUGGACAUGAUGCUCAUGUCACUAUGCUUCUUGGUGCAGCAAAGAUCCUUCAAGCCCAUCGGGAAGAGAUAAAGGGUACAGUGGUUCUUGUUUUCCAACCAGCUGAGGAAGGAGGUGGUGGGGCAAAGAAAAUGAUAGAUGCAGGAGCAUUAGAGAAUGUCAAUGCAAUCUUUGGGCUGCAUGUUGAUCCCAGGUUGCCAAUAGGUCAUGUGGCUUCCAGACCUGGUCCUUUACUGGCUGGGAGUGGCUUCUUUGAAGCAGUAAUAAGUGGAAAAGGAGGUCAUGCUGCCAUUCCUCAGCACUCAAUAGAUCCAAUAUUGGCAGCUUCUAAUGUGAUUGUGAGCUUACAACAUCUGGUUUCAAGGGAAGCUGAUCCACUGGACUCACAGGUGGUAACCGUUGCAAAAUUCCAAGGGGGUGGUGCGUUCAAUGUUAUUCCAGAUUCUGUUACAAUUGGUGGCACCUUCCGAUCCUUUUCAAAACAAAGCUUUAUGCAACUUAGGCAACGUAUUGAGGAGGUCAUCACAGGGCAAGCUUCUGUACAGAGGUGUAAAGCAUCUAUUGAUUUCCU
rnacentral:misc_RNA from 1 species